ACCCCGGUGAUACGGCAGAGGGCUAUAAAAGCAAAAGUUGUGGCCAGUCCAGCAGGAGUUAGUGACAGGGAGUGAUGCGCUCAUGGGUGUAGUUGUGGGGGAGGAAGUGGGCAGUUCAGGGCCUCAGGAGAGUUGGGGAGAGAUGACUGAGUUAGAUGAGACUCGGGGUUUGGGGGUGCAAGGAGAAGGAAAGUUGGCAAAGAGACGGAGACUAGGUCUGGGGGGACCACAGUGCGGCAGGCUGCGUUCAAAAUACGCGCAGGAGCCCACAGGGAGGGCCAGGCUCCAGGCCAGGCUGCCACUACUGCCUGCUGGAGGGGGAACUUGACGUCUGAGAAGGCGCCGCUCUUGCAUGGCUGAGCAAGCCUCAGUGCCCUCGUCUGUGGAGGGAGGAAGGCAGGGCGAGAGGCCAGGAGGAAUGGGCCGCUGCGGCCCUGGAGAUGAUCAGGAAGGCGGGCAGUGGUUGCAGGGCUGCAGGAGGGCCGGGAGGGCCGAGCUUCAACUUGUCCAUGCCAGCAGCCCUUUUUUUUUCAGACAAAGGGCUGUGAACCCGCCUGGGGAUGAGGCCUGGUCUUGUGGAACUGAACUUAGCUCGCCGGGGCUGACCACUCUGGCCCAGGGUGGUAUGUAAUUUUGGCUCAGCCUGGGACGGGUCCAGGCUGGGCCCAGACUAGUGGAGCGUCCAGGUCUGGAUGCGAAGCCAGGCCCCUGGGCGGAGGUGAGGGGUGGUCUGAGGAGUGAUGCGGGGCCAAGGCGCCAUCCUCACCGGCACCUGGCAUGUUUGACAGGCGGGGACUGCGAGGCACGCUGCUCGGGUGUUGGGGGCAACAUUGACCAACGCUUUAUUUUCCAGGUGGCAGUGCUCCUUUUGGACUUCUCUGUAGGUUUGGCGCUAAACUCUUCUGUGAGCUCACUCCACCCCUCCUCCUCCUCCCUUUAACUUAUCCAUUCACUUAAAACAUUGCCUGGUCGUCUGGUAAGCCUGGUAUAGUAGCCGAGUGGCUGUUGGAGUCGGUAUUGUUGGUGGAGAAAGAAAGGCCUUCCCGCUGAGGUGGGGUGGGGCGGAUCGAUGUUGCUUGCCUGCAGAGAGGGUGGGGAGUGAAUGUGCCCCUUUGGGUGGGCCCGCAGCGAUCCAGCUGAAAGUUACAAAAAUGCCUCAUGGACCGCGGUUUGUUACUGUAGUGUUCCUCAUGGCGAGCAGAUGGAACCGGGAGACAUGGAGCCCCUGGCCAUUAUGAGUCCUAGCAGUGCAGGAGGGGAGACCCUGGAGGAAAGAGCCCGCCUCAAUUGAUGCCUGCAGAUUGAAUUUCCAGAGGCUUAGGAGGAGGAAGUUCUCCAAUGUCAUGUUUCCAGGCCUUUCUCAGGAAGCCCUGUAUUCAGGAGGCUACCAUUUAAGGUUUUCAGAUAAGCUUGUGGGGGGCAAUCUUAAAAGUCCACAGCAGAUGCAUCCGGCUUGAGGUGCCAUCAGCUUUGAAUAAAUGCUUGUUCCGGAGCCAUGAAUGCCAGCAGGCACCCCUCCUUCCCUGGGGUAAAGGUUUUCAGAUGCUGCAUCUUCUAAAUUGAGCCUCCAGUCAUACUCGUUCUGUGCUUGGAACCUUGCUUCAAGAAGAUUCCUAAGCUGUAGAACAUUUUAACGUUGAUGCCACAACGCAGAUUGAUGCCUUAUAGAAGGAGUUUGCAGAAGGAGCCCCAUGACCUCUCGCCUACCCACCUGUUUGCCUGCCUGCCUGUGCAUUGCUCGGAGAAGUUCUGAGCCUGAUGAAAUAACUUGGGGUGUUGGAAAGCUGUUUAAUUUUAAAUGCCUUAGACGGGGGAUAUAUUAGAGGAAGCAGAUUGUCAAAUGAAGGGUGUCAUUGUGUGGUGCUAAACUCUGGGAGGGUACACGUUGGUCAUUCUGAAAUCUGUGUGUGGGAAAUGGCAGGUCUAGUUUGGGCAUUGUGAUUUCAUUGCAGGUUACUAAGAGAAGGGAAUGGUGGGUAUGCCGGUAGUGCCCUUUCGAUCUUGUUUCGUUUUUUUUAAACUUGAAUUUUGUUAGAUUUCAUAAUACUUUUUUGGCAUUCUAAUAAGAGGACCCUGAGGUGGGAGUUGUGGGGGAUGGGCGGAGGAAAACAGCUUGGCACUGGUCACGUGGGAGUUGCAGUUUGGGGGAAUGCAGCUUGGCGUUGGUACUGGGAGGGAUGGGGUGAAGAAGGGGAGAGGGUUGGUUAGGUAUCUAGUGUGGGUGUUGGGAGUGGUAGGAAAUGCAGGUUUAAGGGAACUCUGGGGCUCUGGUGAAUUUAGUGCAAUGGGUGAGCCAAGAAAACACUAAUUAAUAAUAGUAAGUUGUUAAUGUUGGUUAAAUUGUUGCUUGGAAAUGAAAAGUUGCUUAGAAACUUUCCAAAGUGCUUAGAACUUUAAGUACAAAAAAACCAAAACAAAAUUGUUUUGCUUUGCUGCAAGGUGGGGAAGACUGAAAAAGUGUAACUGAAAAUAGAUGAUGACACAGAGUCACCAGUUUUCCGAGAACCACAGGGAGGGGUGUGUGAUGCCAUCUCACAGGCAGGGUAAACGUCUUUACCAACUUCUUCCUGGUGGCCAAGGCAGCCUGUUUUAGAGGGUGGUUUUGUUUAGGGUGUGGGUAUUUUCAAGUGAAUCAGUCACUUGUCAGACUUGCAUACGCAGCAUCCCUCGCUGCCUCUUGCCAGCUUCAUAGGUGAUCUAUCUGAAGCUGUGAAGAUGGGAUUUUUCACAGGAGCUGGAAGUCUUAGAAAUUGUAAAUGCCUACAUUGUGGGCUUUUAACGUAUUUAAGGGACGACUUAAGACGAGUUGAGAUAGGCUCCUCUGAAUUUGUAACUCAUUUGUCACAGAUAGCUUGUGAUUGAAAAUUAUGAGCACAGUGAAAGUGCAGUGAAUUUCAAGGGAUUUCUUAUGUAAAUCCUGCCGUAGAAACACAUAAUUGUCUUUUCUGUGUUUGGUAAAUAUUAAUCAUGGCAAAAUUUUUGCUUACCUAGUAUCUUCGAAUCUAGUCUUUGUAACGAACCAAAUACCCUUUUGUCAUCACUGUAAAAUUACUAUAAUAUUUGGUAGCAGAUAGAAUCCAUGUACCUUUGCUAAGGUUAAAAUGAAUAUUGUAUUUUUAGUUUGAAUGUUUGUGCUUUUCCGUGAUCCGUGAUCCAAGACUAGAGGGGAAACUAAACUGUCAUCACCUAACGGUUUGGAAAACGAGCUAAAAGGGGAAGGGGAUGAGGAUUGUGGGGAGGGCGUGGGUGAAGUGCCUCUACUACAUGUGUGAUCUGAAAACUCUACUUGUUUCUGAGCUGCAUCCAAACUGAUAAAGUAAUACCAAUGGCUUGUUACCAUGUCCCUCUUCCCUUUAAAUUUCACUUAAAUUUUUUUAAAUCAUGGAUAUUUUUAUCCUUGGGAUCUGUCUUCUGGGUUCCAUUUUUUCAGUGUUUAAAAAUAUGUUGACACGGUAGUUCAGUUCUUAACCAGUGGCUUGGACAUGAUACAAUUACUGUCGUUGGAAUUUAGAGUGUUAUUAGUCAUGCAUGUAUGGGGAAAUAUUUUCGGGCAUGCUGUUGCGAAAUUAAAACUGUAGAAGUGGGUGGUUAAAAGUACGGGUUUGUUGCUCUGUAUGGUAAGAACUAAUCCUGUUGCAUCAUGUACGUAAUUCCUAAUCACUUUCCUUCCCCUUUACAGCACAAAUAAAGGUUCAAGUUCUAAACUCAUUAGAAUUGUUGUAUUGCUAUGUUAUAUUUCUCGACCCCUAUCACAUUGCCUUCAUAAUGAAGUUGGAUUUAUUUUCAUGUUGUAGAUUUAGGUCUAGAUUUGCCAGCUUCAAGUAAGUAAGGCCGUAUAGGAGAGCAUGAUAACCAAAAUAGAACUGGUAUUAUCCCAAGUGGUCUGCAGACUGCUGGGUGGGUGGGGAGGGAUCUGCUCUAUGUUGGGACUUGGUAAUCAUUUGUUUGAAAUGUGAUGAACCAUUCGAGCCAAUGAAGGUGAGUGUGUAGGUGGGGAGUGCUUUGCCAUAAUAUUUUAAAACAUUACUUGCUUAGAGUUCUAAGUGGUACUUAUUUUUAUUUGGUUAGGGAAAAGUCUGAAUAAAAUAGAAUGGCUAUAUAAUAUGUGUAUUACAUAGUAUGAGUCUUUGGAAGGCUGGAAUGUAUCUGGGAUUUGGGUCUAAGUAUAUGCGUAAUUCUUAUCUCACUAAAGAAUGCGACUUGUUUUUUCCUUUUGGUGAGUGACUGAGAGGAAUCUGCUCUCUGUUGGGACUUGGUAAUCGUUUGUUUGAAAUGUGCUGAGGAGGAAGGUGCUUGAUUCAAAGGGAGCCUCAAGGGAGGCUUGUCCUACUCAACCUGGACCUGUUGGCCUAAGAAGGGGAGAUAAGGGCUCAACUGGGACUAGCCAGGGGACCAGCACAAAUGGUGGGAGAUCAUGACCGGAAGGAUUCUUUUCUUACCAUGAGCUGCGGGACUGGUUGCCGUCUUUACAGCUGUGUCUUAUUUGCCUGUGCUGUUGUAUCUUGGUGACCCCUCCACAUGUACACUACUGACAAACGGGCUGGGUAGUGGGAAGAGGAAGUCACUGAGCUGCCCACCCAGCAAACCUAUCUGUGCUCAUGGCACCGCCAAGAUAGGGCUCUGCUGUGUACAGGCUCCAGGGCCCUCUUCCUGCUUGCCCUCUUCCUGGAUGCUCCAGAAAUAAUCCAGGCCCCCUUUCCUGUCUUACCCCUUUGCUUUGCUUUUUACCCCAGCACCUCUAUAACCACCUUUUCUUCUUUUCAGAGCCCUUGUUUCUUCUCUUGUUUUUUAUGAUUAUUACAAAACUCUUGCUUCCACCCUGGAAAGUAACUGCUAUGGAUGCCUCUGUGUAAAUGGUGCUAUCUCCAGCAACUGUGGCAUGCUGAAGAAGAAUUGACUCAUGGGGUAUAAAUGUUGGGGAUUGGAAGUGGGUAUGAAGUGGCACUUGAUCAGGAGCAGAGAGGUGAGGCCAACUGCUGAAGGCUCAGCUCGCCACCCUCCUUGCCUCCACCCCAAUCCAGGGGCUGGGCCACAGUCUUUGCCUUCAGUUAUCCUCAAAUCAGUUGAGAUGGACAGGAGGUGUUGAUGGCAGUGCCAGCAACUAUCACUCAUCAGUUUGCAUCCUUAUGCAUGGAUCUGAAUUCAGACUUUCUGUGAAUUUCCAGAGGUGUGGGUAAUAUCAUGGAACUCAGUGAGUGGGCAUGGCUGAGCUUUGCAAAAUAAAAGUUAUGGGGUAUAAGAAAAGCAAAAGUUGAACUUGAACUUCUUUUAAAAAGGAAAGUACCCUGAGAGCCAGUAUUGGUUUACGUUCCUCAGUAUGCCAGGGUUGGUGACACAGAACUGCAGGAACGGCCUGUGUUACAAAAAGGAGAUUGAUUCAGCUGCCCUUGGUGCAUCUUAUUGCCUGUGACUGUUAAGGGAUUCCAAGGACCCUUAAUGCCAGGCUAACCUCUCUGUGCAGUGAAGUCUCUGGAGGAAGUGUUAUCCUCUGGCGUUGUGUGCAAAGGUACUCAUGGUGCAGUGCUGGUAUGAAAUGAAGACAUGCCCAAAUAGGCUUACGGAUGUUUAUGAUACGUUUUCAAUAUUCCUAUCUAACAAACAAAGAUAUACUGAUACUAUCUGGAAAUCGUAACAGGAAGAUAGCAAAAGAAGAACUAAACUUACGAAAAGAUGAGCAGGUACGUGUUCCAAGGCAGGUGGCCGUGAUCUUCCUCUGAGUGAGGGCAUCCCCUCCACCCCCUGCCAGCCUGCUGGUUAGGACAGCCUGCCGCCACCCUCCUGGACCCACAGCCAUGCACUGCCUUUCCUCUCUUUUAAAUAAUUCUUCAUCGAGUUCUAAUAUGUAAAAGAAAAGUUUAAAGUUUACAAAUAAGGAAUUUUUUUUUCAAAAUCCUCAAUAAUCUUACCAUUAACAAUUGUUAUGGGCAUGUUUGCUUUUGGAGGAUUUCUUUUAUAUGCGUGGGAUAAGUGCUUUUUUAUACAAAAAUGAGAUGAUGCCAUAAAUUCUGUAUUGUGACUACUUAAUAUAUAGUGAACACCUUUUUAAAUGAUAACAGUGUUUCCUCGAUUGGCUAUAUCAGUGUAAACACUUAUUUCAAUGGACAUGUAGGGUAUUUCUAGGUUUUUUUUUCUCUUAGAAAAUAAUACUUGCAAUGACUUUCUUUGUAGCUCAGACUUUUGUCUCUUGUUUUCUCUUUGGGAAUGCAUGAAUACAUUUCGAGAAGGAAAUGACUCUGUGAAACUCGGGCUAAACUGCCCACCAGGGAGAAAUUGCUCAAUUAGUGUUCUGACUAGUGAGGCAAACCUGACGCCUUCCCCUCUUCCUCAGAACCUGUUUUGCCACAUUAAAAACCUUUGCUCCCCCAAUGGAUCCAGUCUGCUUCCCCUGUGGGUGUGAGCAUUGCUUUGUCUGCUGGGGAUUGAACAUCUCUACUGUAUGUUGAUUGGCCGUUUGUAGGGGGUGUGUGUGCAUGACUUUGUACUUCCUAAUUAGGCAUUUUUCUUUUUUUUUGUUUUUUGUUUUGUCUUGUUUUUUAAGAUGGGGUUUCACCAUGUUGAUAAGGCUGGUCUUGAACUCCCGACCUCAGGUGAUCCGCCCGCCUUGGCCUCCAAAGGGCUUGGAUUACAGGCGUGAGCCACCACGCCCGGCCGCGUAAUUAGGUAUUUUUCUAAUGGUUGUUGUGUAAAAACUAUUUACAUAUUAAGGAUAUUAAUAACCUUUUGUCAUAGUUGAUGCAAUAUUUCUUUUCCAGUUUAUAGAUUGCCUUUUAAUUUUGUUUCAGAUAGAUAGAAGUUACAUGAUUUUCCAAGGUUAGUUUAUUACUGUGGUUUCUGAACUUGUUAUAUGUAGAUCUUUUCUACCCCAAGAGUACAUAAAUAUUAAUCCAUACUUUCUUGUGAAACUUGCAUGGUAUCAUUUUUUUACAUUUAAACCUUAUUCCACCUGGAGUGUGUUGUGGAGUCUGUGUGUGUGUGUGUGUGUGUGUGUGAGGAGGGGCGUGGUGCUCUCAGAGCCCACCUCCUAAGGCCAAAGAACCCUGUCCUGGGAGGGUUGCUGUCACAGUGAGAGGGUUCACUGCAGAAGACCUUGGGGCCAGGCUGGUGUUUCCUGAAUGGGCCCCUGGUUGUUGCUGGUCCCUGACUCUCGGUUUCCCCAUCUGAGUAGGUUUGUACCUAAUAGGUCACUGGAGCUGGUUCUAAUCCUCUUGGCAACUUUAUGACUGGGAGCAAGUUACUUAACCUGCCGGAGACUGUCUGUGAAAUGUGGGUUAAUGAAUAUAGAUGUUUGGCAGCAGCUACUCCUUGUUGAGCUCUUAUAGUGAACUCUCCUGCCUCUGCCCUCCUUCUCCACCUCCUCUGGGGCCCAGGUCUAACCACUUUUUCCUGGGACCCUCUCCCUGUUCUGUGGCCGGCUGGCUGCCCGCCUGGCACUGGACGUUUCAUGCAAUGGGAAUCAGAGUGUAUAUCCUGGUCUGGUCUGUUUCUACACUUAAUUUUGUUUCCACUAAAUUUCCCUGUACCGGUAUAGUUCACAAACACAUUUGAAGAGGCUGUUUCUCAGGAUUCUUAACCUUCCCAAAGGAAUUCCCAUGGAUGGGUUCCUAGAAGUCUAUGAAUGCUCUGAAAUUGUGUGUAUUUUUCUGUGGAAAGCAUAACUUUCAUCUGCUUGUUCAUGACCUCAAAAAAGAUCAUGAAUGGAAUGAUUGCAUGAUUUUAUGCUAAUGUGCUUAUACUACAGGAUAUUUAUCCCAUCUCUUUAGUUGUUAAACUGUUUUGACUAUUUAAAUUGUGCAGCUGUGAGCAUCUCUGUAACUUUAGUGUACAUGUGUAUCUCCCGGAGUGGCACUGCCUGGGCAGUGAGGACUUACGGUUUUAUAACCGUCUUCACAGACUCGUGACUCCAGAAAGCUACACUUCCUGUUGUGAGUAUAUUACAUCCAUUUCCCUACAAAGCUACUAACAUCAGAUUUUUACAAUUUUAUUUAUUUGUUGCUACUUGUAAAAUUUUUUGUGGUGAAAUACAUAUAAUAGAAGUUUACUAUCUUAAUCAUUUUUAAGUAUGCAUUCAGUAGUGGUAAGUAUGUUUCCACUGUUGUACAGCCAAUCCAGAACAUUUUCAUCUUGCGAAAUUGAAACUCUGUACCCAUUAAAUAACCUUAAACACUGCAUUUCCUCCAACAAAACCAAAACUCUGUACCUAUUAAAUAAUAUUAAACAAUCCAUUCCCUCCAGCCCCGGCAACCACCAUUCUUUCUACUUUCUGUUUCUGUGAGUUUGACUACUCUAUGCACUUCAUAUCAGAGAAAUCAUGAAGUAUUUGUCUGUUUGUGACUGGCUUAUUACAUUUAGCACAGUGUCCUCCAGAUGCGUCUAUGUUGUAGCACGUGUCAGAACCUCCUUCCUUUUUAAAAGAGCUGAAUAAUCUAUUUUAUAUCUUAUUUUGUUGAUCCAUUCACCCAUUAGUGGACGGGUUGCUUUCAGCUUUUGUGAACAAUAGUGUUACGUACAAAUAUCUUUAUUGUUGUAUUUACAAGUAUGAUGCUGUAAUGUACACACAUCUUUUUGAGAUCCUAUCUUCAGUUCUUUUGGGUAUGUAGCCAGAAGUGGUAUUUCUAUUUUAAUUUUUUUGAGGAACCACUCUAUGUUUUCCAUAGCAACUGCCCUAUUUUACACUCUCACCAGUAGUGCACAGGGGUUCCAAGUUUCCCACAUCCUCUGCAGUGGUUGUUAUUUUCAGCUUUUUUAUAUCGAAGCCACCCUGUGGGUGUGAGGUGAUAUUUCAUUGUCAUUUUGAUUUGCAUUUUCCUAAUGAUUAGUGAUACUAAUGAUUAGUGAUACUAAGCGUCUUUUCAUAUACUUAUUGCUCAUUUGUAUGUCUUCUUUAGAAAAAUGUCUAUUCAAGUCCUUUGACUAUUUUAAAAAUUGGGUUAUUAAGGUUAUUGUUGUUGACUUGUAGGAGUUUCUAUAUUCCGGAUAUUAACCCCCUAUCAGAUAUAUGAUUUGCAAAUAUGUUCUCUUAUUCCAUAAGGUUGCUUUUUCACUUUGUUGAUUGUGUUCUUUGAUGUACAGAAGUUUUAAAAUUUGAAAUAGUCUAAUUUCUGUCUUUUUAAUUCUGUUUGUACUUUUGGUGUCAUAUCCAAGAAAUCCUUGCCAAAUCCAACGUUAUAAGGUAUUUUAGUUGUUUUAGUCUGUAUAUUUCUGUGCUCAUCUCUUUAUCCACUCAUCCGUUAAUGGGCACAUAGGUUGGUUCCAUAUCUUUGCAAUUCUGAAUUAUCCGUGAUCAGGUGUCUUUUUGGUAUGACUUAUUCUCCUUUGAGUAGAUACCCAGUAGUGGCAUUGCUGGAUUGAAUGGUUUUCAUACUUUUCUGUUUUACCACAGUUUUCAUCUGCAUUUUUCCUCUUUGACCACUGAGCAUGUGAAAUUCUCAUACUGACCUUUAUAUGAUCAUGAACUCUUAGUAUCAUUGGGAAAGCCACAUUCGCUGCUUAUGAUUGUCAACCCUAUCCUCCAUUUUUCCUGUUAUUAUUGAUGCAAAAAGCAUCUAUUUUACCAGGACUUCAAAAAUCAGUCUGAUAAGCCUUUGAUAAGCCUAAUAAUAAUAACUGAUAAGUCCGUUGAAUUUGCUGCGUAUUACUUUUUCUUUAGUAGCUAAACAUGUAUGUACUCCUCUGGUGACAAUGAACACUCCUCUACAUUUAAAUUAAUGAUUUACACUGAUGAAGUUGAAAUAGCAAAGUUUUAAUUACUAAAUACUGUCUUUGUUUUUUUGCUCCAGGUCUGUCAUUAUUAACUUCUUAUAAUUUUCUUUUUUUCUGCGUGUGUGUGUGUGUGUGUGUGUGUGUGUGUGUGUGUGUGUAUUAAUUUCAAUAGCUUUUGAGGUACAAGUGGCUUUUGGUCAUAUAGAUGAAUUCUAUAGUAGUGAAGUCUGAGAUUUUACUGCACCGGUCACCUGAGUAGUGUACAUUGUACCCAAUAUGUGGGUGUUUAUCCCUCGCCCCCCUUAUCUGCCUUACUUUGAGUCUCUAGUGUCCAUUAUGUCACUCUGUAUACCUUUUUGUACCCAUAAGUUAGCUCUCAUUUAUAAGAGAGAACAUGCAGUAUUUGGUUUUCCAUUCCUGAGUUACUUCACUUACAAUAAUAGCUCCCAGCUCCAUCCAAACUAUUGCAAAAAAAAAAAAAAAACCCAUUAUUUUGUUCUUUUUUAUAGCUAAGUCAUAUUCCAUGGUGUAGAUAUACCACAUUUUAUUUAUCUACUCACUGGUUGAUGGGUUGGUUCCUUAUCUUUGCAGUUGUGAAUUGUGCUGCCAUCAAGUGUCUUUUUGGUAUAAUGACUUCUUUUCCGUUGGGUUGAUACUCAGAAAUGAGGUUGCUAGAUCAAAUGGUUCUUAUAAUUUUCUGUCUGGAUCUAUUUCUGGAAAUUGUAGGCUCUAGUUUUCAUUGUUAUUGUUAAUAAAAUGCAGUGGAAUUUAAUGAUCGUCACUUUUCAUUAUGUUUUAAAAUCUAGUAAAUGAAAGCUAAAAUACUCCUCUAAGGGAAGAAUAUUCUCUCUCUUUAUUAGAACUCAAAUACACAGAACUGGGUAAAUCUUUUGGUUCAGAAUAUAACAUGGCUCUCUUUAAUUUUCUUUCCUUGAUUGUUUUUUAAUAAUGUGGUAAGCAUUUCCAAAUCUCCUAUCUAAUAUAAAAACUAGGACAAUACAGACAGUAACCCCUUCCGCUUAUGUGGUCCCACCCCACCCGACUUCCCCUGCCAUCCCUGCCACCCCCCAGGCCAUGGUAAUAAUCAUCCUGAAUCCUGGGUUUAUCUCCCACUUACUUUCUUUUCCCAUAACUUUGUAAAAGAAUCUGAUCUAAAUAUGUUUUUCAAAUUAUAUAUUUAUAUUUUAGUUGUUCUUAGCUUAUAGAAAAGUUAUUUUGGAUGUAAUCUUAUGUUAUUUAAGAUUAUGUUAAUCUUAUUAAAUGAGAUAUAAACAUUCUCAUUUAAUAUGGUAAGAUUUAUCCCUUGCCCAUGGGGUAUUUCAUUUGGUUUAUUUACUGGAUAGAGCCCAUCAUGUAACUGUACCUCAGUUAGUUCAUCAAUUUUCCCAUCCAUCGUGACAGGGUUGCUUCUCUUACUUCUGUCAGUGUCGUUGAAGAAGUGAUAUGUGGGUGUUUUCUCAUUACACAGAGUUGAAAGGUGACUGACAAGGUUGGCACUACCAAUCCCCCAUACUCCAGAGGUAACCAGUGUUACCAGUUUGCUGGGUUUCCUGCUAGACUUACAUUUGUAUCUUAAAAAGUGUUGCAUUGUGUUUCUUUUCCAUAGAAGUGGGAAAAUACUAUUGUAUACUGUACAUUAUUGAUUACUUUUUUCAUUUAACAGUAAGGAGAUGCCUGGGAGUGCACACAGAACUUUCCUCACUGUUUUCAACUGCUGUGCAGUAUCUCUGUGAGUUAUUUAGCCAUUCUGCCAUUAAUGGAAAUUUACAAUAUUUCUCAUCUUUUGAUAUUACAAACAAUACUGUGUGAUCAUCGUCAUACACAGCCCCUUGUGCACAAUGCAUGAGUGUUUCUCAGGGUAGGUACCAAGAAGCGAAAUUGCUGGGUCAUAGGAUGUGGGUCUGACGUUUUCCUCUGUUCUGCCCUGUUGCCCUCCAGAGUAGUUGUCCAGCUUUGCACAGCUGAGUAUGAGAGUAUCUGUUGUUCAUAUCCUCUACGACGCUCUAUAUGACACUAAAAUUUCUGCUAGUUGCUUUCUUUGAUCUGUCAUGUAUGCAGUGACCCACUAAAACUUCAGAUGGUAUGAUAGAUUCUAGUCAUCUCUGUGUGAAUUUAGCAUUCAUGGGAUUAAUGCUAAUAAGGCCCCCAGGGUCCAAGACAUGUAAUCAAGUAUAAUUUUGUCAAGGUAUAAUUUUUUAAAUUGCUCUUGUCACGUGACUGCUGGGGACGCCCAACCCAGUGCUCUGCACCGGGUCACACUGCGGCUUUGUCGUCUGCUUAUCCCUGCAUUCAAGCACUGUCCUGAGGGGACCAAAAUCAUGCGGAUUUAGGUAAGUCCAUGGCUAGUGUUCCUAUAUUAUGUGUUCUUAUAAUGACUGGGGCUGUGGAGUGUAUGAAUUUAUAAAUCACUAGUCUUGUAAUUAAAACUCAAACACUAUAGAAAAAGGCCAUAUAGAAGAUAAAAGCUCCUCUAUAAUUCCCAAUCCCUAAGACAACUACUGAUGACAACUUCCUUUAUAUUCCUUCAGACAUUUUCUGGCUGUGGAUAUCCUAAAAUUUAUCCUAUUAUGCUCUGCCCUAAAAUGGAAUCAUAUAAUAUGUACUAUUGUUUUUAUGGCUUUAUAACAUGUAAUAUUGUGCAUGUUGGUGUGGUCGUUUUAACCAUUUUUCUAGUGAUGGGUUUGAGGUUACUUGCAGAGUUUUCUAGCCAUCACAGAGUGCUGCAGGGAUCUCUUUUGCAUUCCUCUGGGUGCAGAGCUGAGGCACCCAGAGGCAGUGCCCAGAGGAGGCAGCAUCUGUAGGUGUCUUCACCUGCUGUGGCUCUUGGCACACCUGGUCAGUGACACUGUUUUGUGAGAUGGAUUGAAAGCAUCUGCUGCUAAAAUCGGUAAUGCUGGUGCUCUCCUCAGGUGCCGUGGAAUUCACAUAAAACUGCUUAGUGUCCAUGCCAGAAUCAAGUAUAAUAUGGUGCCCGGCUAAGCACAAAACAGUAAUGGAUCCUGCAGAUCCCAGAGUCUAAUUCCUGGUAUUCUUUCCCCUAAGCAGGUUCAAUAAACAACAACAACAACAAAAAAAAAAAACAACCAAACUAUUCUAGGAACACAGCUGUGACAUUUGUAAAAAAGCAGUGUUUAAUGAUCUCUUAUUCACUUGUCUGUUUAGUUUGUUGAAAUGUUACCUGGUCUAGGAAGGAAUGCUGUCUGUACCUGCCCUCUGCUGGGCACAGCGUGGCUGCUUCAGGGGCUAAGUUCAUGCUCUCUGUCCUCUAAGGGGCUGUCACAUGCCAGGAGCUCAGAUGUGAGCCCAGCCCUGGCUCUUACUCACCUCAUAGGGUCACUGGUAGGGGCACAGGGAGUUGAACAUUGUGCACAGCAAGCCACCACUGGCUCAGCAUCUGCCCUGCUGGACUUACUACUUCUAGAAGGCAAUACCUGAGUUCCUCUGGCCUCAGCUACUAGAGUGACUGGUACACUGUCCGUCUUACUCUUCCAUCAGUGUGACAACUGUGUGACCCACCAUCUGUGUGUCAAAGCAAGGCCCUGCCUCAUCCUCUGCUCCUGUGCUGACCCCAAAGGCAAAUGCUCUGCUGGUUUCCUUCCAUUUCACUUCACCUAUUAAUAGAUGUGUGAAACUGUUCAAAGCAAUACAUGCUGCACAUGUUCAAACUUCAAACUCUGUGAGUGAUUCAGUGGCAUCUUUCUCUAACCCCCAGCCUCCCUUCCCACAGAGGCAGCUGUUGUGGCCAGUUGCUGCAGUUUCUUUCUGGAGAAUCUGUAUUUAUAAAGCUGUACAGGUAUACCACAUAGCCUGUCUUGCACUUCGGACUGUUGAGUUACUGUACAUCAAGGUGAGCACUGUAUAUCUGUAUUCACGUCUGCCUCAGUCUUUUCAACAUCUGUGUGGUAGCUGUGUUUGAAUUACCCAUUCCCUUUUUGGGGAACCAUUAAGUUGUUUCAGCAAUUUUUACUGUAGAUAAGGCUAUACCGCAUAUCUGUGUACAUGUGUUUUUAUGUACAUGGGCAAGUAUAUCUGCGAGGGAAAAGUUUUCUCAGGAGGAAGUCUGGGCACAGCACGUGGAAAUUUCUGAAUAUGAUGGACACCCCCAGCUUCCACCGUAGGGAGCUUGGUCCCAUUGACAUUUCCCCACACCUUCACCUGGGCUAUGCUCUCAAACUUGGUUAUUUGUCAAUGUGAGAAGUGGAAAAUAGUAUUUAAUUGUAGUUUUGAUUUGUAUUUCUUUUGGGUUAUAUGUUUACUGAUACAUAUUAAGGAAAUUAACCCUUUGUAAAUACAUUCCUGUUUUUCACUGAUUUUUAAGUUUUAUUAUAAUAUUUUGCUCUUCAGUUUAUAUAUAUAUACACACACACACACACACUAAUUUUGUUUUAUGGUUCCUGGAUUUUAUGAGUAGUUCAAAGAGGCUAAUCCAGCUGAAGCUUUUUUUCUUUUUUCUUUUGGUUAAACCCCAUGCUUUCUCCUGUCUUUUUAUUUUUACUUUGGAGGGCUCUAUCUGGACUUAAUUUUAGUGCAACGAAUGACAGGGUUAGUUAGCCUGUUGCCCUUACACCGUUUUCUGGCUAACACAGCUGUUAACUAUUGAUCUGUUUAUUCAUGUGCCAGUUCCUAAUGGUUUUACAUAGUGUCAUCUGUACUUUAAAAAAGCGAAACGAAAGCCCUACCUCAUUAUUCUACUUUUCCAGAAUUCUCCAGGCUGCAUGUUUACCUUAACCUCCCCCGUGACGUCUUCAUGCCAUUGUCGUCUUAGGAGAGAAUAAGGUGCGUCUUUCCAUCUACUCGCAUCUGUUUAAUUUGACUUUGCAUUACACAGAAAGCUGGUCUUGGUCUGUCUACCUUGGCGUCUAGGUGUCCUCACUGCCCCCAGCGGACCCUACCCCCAUCACGGCGUACUUUUAUUUAUAUUUUGCUCUGCCCAAUGGUCACUAGUUACCGUCAUACUGAUAGUGUCCAGUUCAGUGGUCUUUGCAGUUGAGAUGAUCCUAUACACAAAGUCUUGUUAAAAAUGCCAGUAAGUUUCUACAAACCCAGCCUGCACCCAAGGUCACGUUCAGGGGGUGGGCUGGGAGGGGUUGCUUUCCGAGCCUCUGCCACUUUGUAGCUGGCUCUUCUCACUGGGAAGUUCUGUGUAUCUGGAAUGUCUGAGUGGAGUCCUGUUCCAGUGGCCAGCACCUGACCCCUGUGCCCAACCCCUGAACAGCCUUUUCCUGCUGUCCACAGCCUGCUGGAACCUUUCACAAAAUGUACUGCAUGCUUUCCUGCUUUACGAGGGAUUAUAGAGACCAGAACUUGCCAUUUCUUCAGAGUCUCAAGGCCGCCAUCAUGAACACAUUGUCCUGUCUGGUGCACAGGGGUUUUUUGGAGGCUGCUGAGCCAGAUCUGGUUGUCCCCGCCUUAACUGACCAUCUUCAGCAGCACUGCCGUUCUGCUUAGGAACCUACUGCGGCUUCCCCAGGGUCAGUCCACUCCGCUUUCACUGGGCUCCUUGUUCUACAAUAGAGCUGGAACCAAGGUGCCUGGAGCAAGAUGGUAAAGACUUUACUUCUGCUACUUUCCUAUUUCACAAAUAAGGCAGAGGCCGCCUGCCUCCACUCCAGAAAGAUGUGUCUGGGCUUUAAAUAUAUAUAUAUAUAUAUUUAAAUGAAACACUGUUCUGUUUUCUGAUGAGAAUUUUUUCGGACUUUGUUGAAAUAGGGUGGGGUGAGUUUCUGCUUCCUAAGACACUGUUGUGCACACAUCUGAUCAUUUCCUUAAUAGCAGUUUCUUAGCAGUGAAAUGACCGGCCCAGAGGCUGUGAGCGGUUUGACUCCUGUUGCCAAGCACCCUCCUUGCAGGCAGGCAGAGCCCAUGCUCCCAGCAGAGGGUCCCCAUAGCCUGGCCUGCACCAUCUUUGUUUUUAUCUUUGCUGAUUUGAAGGCAAGAAAUGGUAUCUUGGUAUUUUAAUUUGCACUUUUGGACUCCGUGAGGUUGAAUAAAUACUUGUGUGUUAGUUGAUCUGUGCAUCUGCUUUGGGCCUCACCUGUAUUUUCACCGCUUUGUGACAACUGUUGAGGACAUUUACCCUUACAUAUUACAAAACAUCGUUCAUGCUUGUAGUUUGCCUUUUAAGUGUUCGAUCUUGGUGAUGGUUUUAAAUUUGGUAAUGAAAUCUAUCCAUUUUUAUUAUUAUGGUUUCAUACUUUGGUGUUAUACUAUAUUUUUUCUGGUUCCUUUAUGGUUUUGUUUUUGACAUUAAACGCUAAUCCAUCUACAAGUUACCUUUGUUUAGAGCGCAUGGUGUAUGAAUCCAAUUUAGCUGUUUCAAAUGGUGACCUGAUUUUCCCAACACUAUAUACUGAAUCAUUCUACUUUCUCUAUUGAUUUGAAUGCCACUUGAUAAUUAUAAACUAAAUAAUUUAAUAGUCCAGGUGCAAUGGCUCACUCCUGUAAUCCCAGCACUUUGGGAGGCCAAGGUGGGUGGAUUACCUAAAGUCAGGAGUUCGAGACCAGCCUGGCCAACAUGGUGAAACCCCAUCUCUACUAAAAAUACAAAAAUUAGCUGGGGUGUGGUGGUGGGCACCUGUAAUCCCAGCUACUGUGGAGGCUGAGACAGGAGAAUCGCUUGAACUGUGUUUAGAGGCAGAGGAAAAGGUGCAGUUCAGUUCUUAAACGUGGAAUGGACGUAACCCCAGUGUGUCUUUGUGUGUAAUGCCAGCAGAUGCCCCUGCGAGAUGUGCUGGAUCGUGGGAAAGGGUUUCCAUUUGUUACUAUAUUGUUUGGAACUUUUAAUUUAUGGUGGGUAUGGUGGCUCAUGCCUGUAAUCCCAGCACUGUGGGAGGCUGAAGCAGGAGGAUCACUUGAGGCCAAGAGUUCAAGAUCAGCCUGGGCAACAUAGCGAUUCCCUAUCUCUCAAAAAAGAAGUUUUAAAAUUUGAAAUAAUAAUAGAUAGUGUAUUUAUUCAGAUGUCUUUUCUCAUCUUUUGAGAUGAGUAUCAGGUUUUUUUCCUUUUGUCAUCUGAUGAUGAACUUAAUUUUUCCAUUUGUACUAAUGGAAUAUUAAGUCCCUCUGUGAUUUCUGAAUCAAGCUAUUCCUAGGCCUGAGUUUUAUUUUGUUGACACAGAAAUAAAUUAGAAGGCCAAGUGUGGUGGCAUGUGCCUGUAGUCCUAGUUACUGAGGUAAGAGGAUUGCUUGAGUCCAGGAGUUCAAGGCUGCAGCAAGCUUUGAUUGCACCACUGCACUCCAGCCUGGUCAACAGUCUAAAACCCUGUAUCCAAAAAAAAAAAAAAAAACUAAGGCAAUGAUAGUUCCUGGCAAAUGCUGGGAAGGAGGCAGCAGUGUUCGGGGAAGGUAGCCCUGAAGCAGGACUUUUAAAACAGAGAAGACUGGGAGGCCCAGGCAGGCAGAUCACAAGGUCAGGACUUCAAGACCAGCCUGGCCAACAUAGUGAAACCCCGUCUUUACUAAUAAUACAGAAAAAUUAGCUGGGCGUGGUGGUGUGCGCCUAUAGUCUCAGCUACUCAGGAGGCUGAGGCAGGAGAAUCACUUGAACCCGGGAGGCGGAGGUUGCAGUGAGAUUGGGCCACCGUACUCCAGCCUGGGCGAUAGAGCGAGACUCCAUCUCAAAAAAAAAAAAAAAAGAAAAGAAAAGACCUUAUCUUAUUUCCUAUAUGUUUGUGCCUGAUGUAUAAUUUGGCCCUAGUUAGAAUGGUGGUCUGGGGAAGUGGCCUAUGCAAUCUCUGCUGUUCUGGAUGUAUGGCUCCCUUUCUUCAUUGAUUAAGGUUGUGAUUCUUUUUAUACAUGUUCCAUGGCAGUGGGAAGGGAUUCUCUGUCACAUUCCACAUCUGGAUCAGUUCCUCCCAAUUUUGUUGGUCAAAUCCAGAUCUGCCAUAUCCUGUGCAAUGACAAGUGAGUUGCAUUCUCACCAUCACUCCUGGGGCCUCUCCACUUGCCCUGAGCUGGCUCGGCAGUCUGCUCCGUGUGUUUUGAUGCAGGGCGAUCCACUAGUAUUCCCAGCGCUAACUCCCCCGUCUGUGGCCUGCUUGCUGCUUGGACUUCACCAUGUCUGGUGUUGACAGUGCAGACCCGAAGCUGUCCACACAUGGGCGCACACACUCCUCUGUCUUCUUGUUUGCACUGGACUGAAGUAUCUUUGGGGGUUAUUUUCAGCUGCUGAAUUUGGAAUGAUUUUUAUCUUUUCUGCUUUCCACUUAGUCCAUGUGUUUAUUUUAUACUGUAGUGAUUGGUAUUUAUCAGGUGAAUAUAAUUGGUAUUUAACAGGUGAAAUAAUCCACCUGUUCUGGUUGAGGUCUUCUGGGACUUUCCAGGGUGACAGGUUGUCACUGCUACCUGGGCCAUGUGGACCCACACCAGCAUUUUGUAGUUACGAAUUGUACAGUCACAAAUGUCUUUGGGCAAAUCCCCUUCUAUUCCUGAAGAAAGCUUUUGGCUUGCAGCCCCACUGGCCAGCGGGAAGGGCCAGUCACUUGGUUCUCCUCACUGCCCUGUGCCCAGAUGGUUCUAGAGCUGCUAUUUCCCCCUUGGCCCUGUCCACACCACUGUUUUUACUUCUGCUCACUGGCUGAGUGCAGUGGUUCCCGGAGCCAGUGCCGCGUUUCCCCACGUAGCUCACUCUCCCCGCGGCAUGCACCCGAGGGUCCUAUGGCUAACACGCUGAAUUAAUUCUUUGCUCAUCUUACAGAGUGGGUUUUGACUGCCCCCAUUUCUGAGGCCUUGUAGGCCAGAGCUUUGUUGCCUCAUCGGCAGGUUGGGACUUAGAUGGCCGUGACCGUUUCCUCUCUGCUGCUGCAGUAAGUAAGUGCCUGCACCGUGUAUUUGGGGGCUGAAGUGGAAGCGGGGCUGUGAGGGGAGAUGGACAUGUGAGGGGGACGGGGCAUGAGUGAAGUGGGGGAGGGGUUGAAGGCAGUUGGCCCAGCAGGUUCCCCGCCCUUUUUGAGAGGUCUGAGGCCUGCAGGCCUGGCUCAGAGCCCAGCUGGUAGUCCCCAGACUCGUGUGUGUGUGUGUGUGUGUGUACCUCUGUGUGUGUGUGUGUGUGUGAGAAAGAGAGAGAGAGAGAAGUGGGGGAGAAGUGGAGGGCUGACUCUGCUCGGAUUCAUCAGGAUGAGUACAAGGCACCCAGCCCUCAGCCUGGCCUGACCUCCUGUUUGUCCUGAGCAGGCUAUAGCCCUCUCUGAGCCCCUGUUUCUCAUCUGGACCCUGCUGGGGAGGGCUUCUGAGCUCUUUGGCACUGGCAGCAGGGGCUCCAGGAGCCCUCCCUCCAUGGCAACCAGGACAGGACUCUCAGACGAGGACAGAGAGCUCAUGCGGGGUUCCCAUGGACCCGCCGUGGGGCCAGGGGAGGCAGAGCCUGGGCCAGGAGCAUUGGUGCUGUGGACCGCGGAUACUGAGGGUGUCCUGACUGCGGCUGAGGGUUCAGGUGGGCUUCAUGUACCUCUGGGUCCUGGGGCCCUGGUGACUUGGACCCGUCCUCUCCAGAACUUGUACUCCAGGUUAGUCAGUGACAGGAGAGAGGCCGGUGGGCACUGCGCUUCCAACUUCAUUUCCAGCAUGACAGUUCCCAGGAAGGAACCCACAGCUGACCAUGGCCGAGAGAUCAGAGGACGGAAGGCGAGGCAGGGCAUCUGCGUGACCUCAGGUGCUUGGGGCCCAGCAGACCCAGAGAACCAUUUGCACUAGGCCAGGGUGCCGGAAGUGUCCCCAGGUCUUAGAUUUCCUGUUCUGAUGAAAAGACUUUUGCCUUUAAUUAUAAAAGUGAUCUGCAUAGAGUCAAAAAUUCAAGCCGUGGGUAUAAAGUGAAAGUAAAAUUCCUGUCCCCUCACCUAUCCUGCCCUGCUACACAGGGAUGUCUUCUCAAGUUUCCUAGACCUCUUCUGGAAAUUUCUAUACUCACAGAGAUGCUUGUGACUGCAUACACUGUCCCAGAACCUGCAGGACUGUGCCUCGUGUUCGGUUUGCUGGUGUGACUUGAUGCUCCUCAGUGAGGAUACACAUGUGGCACACUGGGAUGUGGCACAUGUGGCUGUGCCACUGGGGGACACUGUCCCAGGCGGUGGUGCCUUUGCAAGGGGAGUGAGGAAGGCAGGAGGUGGGCCUGGGAGGGAGGGAGGCGCGGAGCCGCCGCAGGUGUUUCUUUUACUGAGUGUGCCCAUGGCCACACUCAGGUUUUGCUUUUCACCUUUCAAUCUGUGAAACAGUGAGCAGGAAAAAGCAAAA